GAGGGGCUGCUCCUAGUACGAGAGGACCGGAGUGGACGAACCUCUGGUGUUCCGGUUGUCACGCCAGUGGCAUUGCCGGGUAGCUAUGUUCGGAAAAGAUAACCGCUGAAAGCAUCUAAGCGGGAAACUUGCCUCAAGAUGAGAUCUCACUGGGAACUUGAUUCCCCUGAAGGGCCGUCGAAGACUACGACGUUGAUAGGCUGGGUGUGUAAGCGUUGUGAGGCGUUGAGCUAACCAGUACUAAUUGCCCGUGAGGCUUGACCAUAUAACACCCAAACA
rnacentral:rRNA from 1 species